CAGUAGCCGCGGGAAUACGAAGGGGGCUAGCGUUGCUCGGAAUUACUGGGCGUAAAGCGCGCGUAGGCGGAUAUUUAAGUCAGGGGUGAAAUCCCAAGGCUCAACCUUGGAACUGCCUUUGAUACUGGAUAUCUGGAGUUUGGGAGAGGUGAGUGGAAUUCCGAGUGUAGAGGUGAAAUUCGUAGAUAUUCGGAGGAACACCAGAAGCGAAGGCGGCUCACUGGCCCAAUACUGACGCUCAUGCACGAAAGCGUGGGGAGCAAACAGGAUUAGAUACCCCUGUAGUCCCUGUCUCUUAUAC
rnacentral:rRNA from 1 species